AGAACGGGUGUUUUCCGUUCUGCGUUUGAGUCUGCCGUCUUUGGGCGUCUCCCUCUGAGAUGUCGGUUAGGAUUUCUUUUUUUUAUAUGUCCGUGUGUGUAACUGUUGCCUUUUAGCCUGUUGUGUUCCUGAGCAGCAAGAAGAGGCGGCUGUGGUGACCCGCCCGAUGCGGAAGGCUUCUGGGCCCUGUCGGCGGGGGCGCACCUCUCUGGCUGACUGGUUGACCAGGCUUUGACCAGGUGGCCGGGGAGGCGCAUCCUCGCUGGGCGGGGUCUGGGGGCCCUCCGUCUUGGGGAGGUCGCUGCAGCAGGAGGAGGUAACUACUGCUGGUUUUGUAAGGCAUUGUGGUUGAGAGCACCUUGCAGCUGUAACGCGAAUUUCGUUCCGUAAUAAACAAUGUACCGCCAUGCUGCCUGUCCUUCCUCCCUCCCAGCACUGUGUACGUCUGUGUGUGCGUGUGUGUUGCUUGAUUCUCCCUCACUGCACUGUGCGUACGUCUGUGUGUGUGUGUUGCUUAAUUCUCCCUCCCAGCACUGUGUACGUCUGUGUGUGUGUGUUGCUUAAUUCUCCCUCCCAGCACUGUGUACGUCUGUGUGUGUGUGUUGCUUAAUUCUCCCUCCCAGCACUGUGUACGUCUGUGUGUGUGUGUUGCUUAAUUCUCCCUCACUGCACUGUGUACGUCUGUGUGUGCGUGUGUGUUGCUUAAUUCUCCCUCCCAGCACUGUGUACGUCUGUGUGUGUGUGUUGCUUAAUUCUCCCUCACUGCACUGUGCGUACGUCUGUGUGUGUGUGUGUGUUGCUUAAUUCUCCCUCCCAGCACUGUGUACGUCUGUGUGUGUGUGUGUGUGUUGCUUAAUUCUCCCUCACUGCACUGUGCGUACGUCUGUGUGUGUGUGUUGCUCUGUCUCUCUCUCUCAAUCUCUCUCUCUGUCUCUGUCUCUCUCUGUCUGUCUCUCUAUCUCUCAAUCUCUCUCUGUGUCUUUCUCUCUCUCUAGUUAGUAAAGAACGGGCAACGUUUGCCAUGGAAGACUCUACAGUAUACAUAAGAGUCUACAGUGUACAUCCCAACCCUCUACGGCCGUUGCUGCUCCACCCGGGCAUUACCACAUCCACCCGGGUCUACAAGAAACCUCCACGGCCGAGCCUCAACCACAGAACACACCGCUACCGUUGAUGAGGUUCCACGCCCCGGACUACCGCCAUGUUAGCCUCCAUAAUAGUCCUCGGCGCACUUGUUCUGAGACGUCCUGACUGGAGAGCUACACAACACUGGUCAUCCGCUGAGUGGUUGAAUUCCUGGUCUACCGGCCCCUGGAGGAGUGGUUGAUUGCCUGGUCUACUGUGGAUAUGAGUGGUUGAUUCCCUGGUCUACCCCUGGAUGACGCGGCUGUUCCUAUGCAGGGGAAGACUCACACAAGCGAUAAGGUAAGGUUUUAAUGGCUGGGUUUACAAGAGGUUUUAAUGGCUGGGUUUACAAGAGGUUUUAAUGGCUGGGUUUACAAGAGGUUUUAAUGGCUGGGUUUACAAGAGGUUUUAAUGGCUGGGUUUACAAGAGGUUUUAAUGGCUGGGUUUACAAGAGGUUUUAAUGGCUGGGUUUACAAGAGGUUUUAAUGGCUGGGUUUACAAGAGGUUUUAAUGGCUGGGUUUACAAGAGGUUUUAAUGGCUGGGUUUACAAGAGGUUUUAAUGGCUGGGUUUACAAGAGGUUUUAAUGGCUGGGUUUACAAGAGGUUUUAAUGGCUGGGUUUACAAGAGGUUUUAAUGGCUGGGUUUACAAGAGGUUUUAAUGGCUGGGUUUACAAGAGGUUUUAAUGGCUGGGUUUACAAGAGGUUUUAAUGGCUGGGUUUACAAGAGGUUUUAAUGGCUGGGUUUACAAGAAGUUUUAAUGGCUGGGUUUACAAGAGGUUUUAAUGGCUGGGUUUACAAGAGGUUUUAAUGGCUGGGUUUACAAGAGGUUUUAAUGGCUGGGUUUACAAGAGGUUUUAAUGGCUGGGUUUACAAGAGGUUUUAAUAGCUGGGUUUACAAGAGGUUUUAAUGUCUGGGUUCAAGAGAGGUUUUAAUAGCUGCAUGGGUUUACAAGAGGUUUUAAUGGCUGGGUUUACAAGAUGUUUUAAUGGCUGGGUUUACAAGAUGUUUUAAUGGCUGGGUUUACAAGAUGUUUUAAUGGCUGGGUUUACAAGAUGUUUUAAUAGCUGGGUUUACAAGAGGUUUUAAUAGCUGGGUUUACAAGAGGUUUUAAUGGCUGGGUUUACAAGAGGUUUUAAUAGCUGGGUUUACAAGAGGUUUUAAUGUCUGGGUUCAAGAGAGGUUUUAAUAGCUGCAUGGGUUUACAAGAGGUUUUAAUGGCUGGGUUUACAAGAUGUUUUAAUGGCUGGGUUUACAAGAUGUUUUAAUAGCUGGGUUUACAAGAGGUUUUAAUAGCUGGGUUUACAAGAGGUUUUAAUGGUACAUAUCUACUGAAUGUUUCUGUGUUAUGUAUCUUGACAUGCUCUCAGGGUAAGGAGCGUUCUGAUAUGGUCCCUUCCCUCCCCAGCACCUGUCGGACCUGGAGACUCCCCCCUGAGCCUGACGGUGGAGCUGUGGGCCCUGCACCAGACCCCCACACCCCCCCACACCACCCACAGCAGGGGCAGGGCGUUGAGACUCCCCCCACAGGCUAAGACAGGGAGGGACUUGAAGAUCCGGGUUUUUGUCAUCUGCACAGGAAUUGACACAUGACCCGCUGCGUGUUCUGCUGGAGAAAAACACUGCAUGACUGUUGUUGGGAGGAGACACAGCAUGAAGGCUUCCAGGAGCUGCAAGACAUCCUUGUGGGCGCCUGCUGGUCAUUAUGAUGGAGCGUCGGCAGAGAUCGAGCUGGCGGAAGGCUGGCGGCCGGGUCAAGCUCACCACUGACAUGCGCUCGGCCGAUGUUGUUGACCUCGGCCACAUCAAUGUUACUAAGGUGGUGGAGGUGGGGAACGGCAUCUACAUUGACGACGGACCCAAGGAGAUCGCUGAGACUACUACUACUACUAUUACUAUUGCUAUCCUCUAUACUGCUAUGUGUACUAUUAAAUCCUCUUUACUGCUA